UGCGAAGCCGACAGGUUAAUCCGAGUGGUUUCUGCUAAAGGAACCUUUUGUUAGUCCUAGAAACACUAACGAAUAAGGGGUGGGCAAGUUCUGGUGUCAGCCGCCGCGGUAAAACCAGCACCUCAAGUGGUCAGGAUGAUUAUUGGGCCUAAAGCAUCCGUAGCCGGCUCUGUAAGUUUUCGGUUAAAUCUGUACGCUCAACGUACAGGCUGCCGGGAAUACUGCAGAGCUAGGGNGUGGGAGNGGUAGACGGUACUCGGGAGGAAGUGGUAAAAUGCUUUGAUCUCUCGAUGACCACCUGUGGCGAAGGCGGUCUACCAGAACACGUCCGACGGUGAGGGAUGAAAGCUGGGGGAGCAAACCGGAUUAGAUACCCGGGUAGUCCCAGCUGUAAACUAUGCAAACUCAGUGAUGCAUUGGCUUGUGGCCAACGCAGNAUUGCAGGGAAGCCGUUAAGUUUGCCGCCUGGGAAGUACGUACGCAAGUAUGAAACUUAAAGGAAUUGGCGGGGGAGCAC
rnacentral:rRNA from 1 species